CAGCACUUUGGGAGGCUGAGGUGGGAGGAUCGCUUGAGCCCAGGAGUUCUGGGCUGUAGUGCGCUAUGCCGAUCGGGUGUCCGCACUAAGUUCGGCAUCAAUAUGGUGACCUCCCGGGAGCGGGGGACCACCAGGUUGCCUAAGGAGGGGUGAACCGGCCCAGGUCGGAAACGGAGCAGGUCAAAACUCCCGUGCUGAUCAGUAGUGGGAUUGCGCCUGUGAAUAGCCACUGCACUCCAGCCUGGGCAACAUAGUGAGACCCUGCCUCUUUUGAGUUCUCACCUUAUAAAGUAGCCUUUC
rnacentral:SRP_RNA from 1 species